CGCCGAAGGCUCCAUUAUUAGUCGUUCUCCUCGAUACAGUCAGCACAUAGAGGACUCCUUUUAUUCGUUUUAUUUGGGAUUCGCUCUUUUAGGUAAAGGUUGCGUUCAUCUAUCAGAUUGCAUCCCCGUCUCAGGAAGUAGAGAAAGAGGGAUGAGCGCGCAGGAAGCAGCAGACAUGGAGGCGGAGUCUUACAGGAAAGACACGCGAAGAAAGAGAGCCGAAGAUGACACAGAUGAGUCCUCCAAGCGACACAAGCAUCAUCAUCACAAGGACAAGGACAAGGACAAGGACAAGGAAAAAGAUAAGGAUAAACACAGGCAUCACCACCGCCACCACAAGCACAAACACCACCACCACAAAAAACAACGCGGGGCCGAGACUGAGAAUAAUCUUGCAGACGGAAUGGAAAAAGAACAAGGGUUUCGAUUUACUAGGGUUUCUGCUCAUGAUGAUGAUGAGAAGGAAGAAGGAGAAAUUGUGGAAGACGAAGAAGAAGACGGAGGAAAACCCGUCCUUUCCGAGAUCGAGUCCGGGGAAAUACAGCCUGAUGAGGCCGCUUCAAUCUUCACAGGGUUUGAGUCAGCAUCACUUAAGGGAUCUAGCAGGCUCACACACCAAAUGCCAGAAUCAAAAGAUAGAUGUGGUGAGGUUGAGAAUGGAUUUACAGUCAUUUCAGAGUUUUCUGAAAAAAAUGUAAUUGAGAGUUACAGCAAGUCUUCAAAUAACAGUGAUGUUGAGAUGGUCCUCGUUGAAAAGAGAAAGGACGUGCAUUUAAAAGAUAGAAAUGGAAGAAGUGAUAAUCUGGUAGGGAAAUUUGACAAAUAUGAUGGAAUUAAAGGUGAAAAGUAUUGUAAAGUUGACUCAAAGUCUGACAGAUUUGAUAGAAGUAAGAUGACAAUUAUGGGUGAUCAGCGUACCAACCAGGUUUCUAGGGAAAUUCAAAUAUCUGAAGAUGGUAAUGGACAGUUCUGUAGGAGUCAGCCACCCUCUGAGGGAACAAAGGCUAGUACCAUCAGAGAUGACAGGAAGCUUAUAGCAGAGCAAAAUGAUGCCAUUCGAGAGGAUGAGUUAAAGCAUUUGAAUCGCCAACCUUAUUCAAGGCAUAGAAAAGAGACUCUGUCAGAGAGCAUGGAUACAAACACUCAACGUGGCCAUGCAGGGAGUGGGGAUGGUGGCAAAGUUGGAGACAAUGAAACAAAUCACAGUAAAUUGCGUUCUAUAGAUGACCACAACAAGGAGGGGUAUUCUGCAUCCGCAUCCACGUUAGAGGUUACUGAAAAGGAGAGAUAUAGAAGACAGAGGCAUUCUCCAUCUCCUUCAAAAGAUAUUGAAAAGGAUUGGAAUCACAAACAAGACCAUUUGAUAUCUCAUUUGAAAUAUACUGAAAAUGAGAGACAAAUUAGGCAAGGAGAUAAAUCAAAAUUUCUGUCUAAAGAUACACAAAGAGAUAGACAAACCAAACGGGGCUGUUCACAAUCUCCAUUAAGAGAUAGUGACAAAGAGAGACAAUGGCAACAAAUUGGUGUUGACUGCAAAGAGGUUGUAAAGGAUCUCAAAUAUUAUACCCAGCCCCAGUCACCAGGUGCUAAAAAUGACAUUGAGGAUGAUCAUAGAGACCAUGAGUACAAAGAAAGAUACCAUGAAAGGAGGAGUUCAAAGUCUCGAGACAUCAAUAAAGACAAGCCAUUGGAAAGGGACAGAUCAAGAUCUCCUGAAAUUGCAGGAGAUAAGCAGCGGGGUAAGGGCCCAUCUCCUUCAUAUGACAGGUAUAGAGAUAAGGGCCAACCUUUUUCUCGUGAUGGGUAUAGAGAUAAGGGCCGAUCUCCAUCCCGGGAUAGAUAUAGAGACAGGGUGCAAUCUCCUUCUCAUGACAGGUAUAGAGAGAGGUUGCCAUCUCUUUCUCGUGAUAGUUAUAGAGAUAGGGGUCGGUCCAUUUCUUGUGACAGGAAUAGAGACAAGGGUCGGUCCAUUUCUCGUGACAGGAAUAGAAACAGGGGUCGGUCCAUUUCUCGUGACAGGAUUCGAGACAGGGGUCAGUCCAUUUCUCGUGACAGGAAUAGAGAUAGGGGUCGGUCAAUUUCUCAUGACAGGAAUAGAGAGAGGGGCUAUGGUGCAAAGCGUUCAAGGUCUCGGGAAGUAAGGGAUCAGUAUUCUGAUUUGCGAGAGAGAGUGUGGGCUUCUGAGGAAGUCAGGAAAACAUCCAGAUCUCGUGAGAGGGAGAUGAAGCGGAGUAGAAGCAGCCGGGAUCGUGGUCAGCGGGAUAGAAGAUCAAAUUCAAGAGAAUUCUCAAGAGCUGGUAGAAAUGAUGACCGUUAUGACAGAUAUCAUAGAUACGGUCAUGAAAGACAAUCAGACAAAGACAAACAAAGAGACAGAACAAUGGAAAGAGAGCGUAUUUCAAAGUAUCAAGAAUCAACACGGGAUUUUAAAGAGGAGAAAGAAAGAAAUAGGGAGGAGGAGAAUCAAGAAGAAUACCAGGAGAGAGUUUUAUUGCAACUUGCGGAGCAAGAAGAGGAUGAUGUUGAAAAAAUUAAAGAGGAAAGCAGGAAGAGGAGACAGGCAAUUUUAGAAAAGUACAGACAACAGAAUCAGCAGACAAUGAUAAAUGAAGAAGCAGGCCAAGGUGCUGGUAAAGAUGCCAAUAGAUCUACUUCAGAUAAUUUUCCAGAGACAAACACAGCUGCAACACUGAUAUCAAUUAGACAGUCAGAACAGAUCACUGGACAUGCUGACAAUGGACAGGAUGGGAGUGAUAUUUUUGUACCCGAUUCAACCUUUUCUGUUGGAAAAGACUCUCCACAAAAUGGGAUACAGCCAGCAGAGAAAACAUUGGGUACUGGUGCUUUAGGUGAAGGCUCUCCAAAGAGUGAGGUGGCUGCAGACAUGUUUAGUGAUGACAUCUUUGGAGAGUCUCCAGCAAAAAUACGUAAACCGGCUAGAGGAGAUGGCUUAACUGUUGAUACAAGUGGUCUUCAUGACAACUGGGAUGAUGCAGAAGGAUAUUAUAGUUAUCGUAUAGGGGAGGUCCUUGAUGGUCGCUAUGAAAUCAUAGCAGCUCAUGGGAAAGGUGUGUUUUCAAGUGUUGUUCGUACAAAGGAUCUUAAGGCUGGGAAGGGAGAGCCUGAAGAGAUUGCAAUUAAAAUUAUUCGAAAUAAUGACACGAUGUAUAAAGCAGGACAAGAAGAACUAAUAAUAUUGAAAAAACUGGCUGGUGCUGACCCUGAAGAUAAACGUCACUGUGUCAGAUUUCUUUCCAGCUUUAAGUAUAGGAAUCAUCUUUGUUUAGUAUUUGAGUCUUUGCACAUGAAUCUUCGAGAGGUUCUUAAGAAAUUUGGUCGCAAUAUUGGUCUUAAAUUGACUGCAGUGCGAGCGUAUGCAAAGCAAUUGUUUAUUGCUUUAAAGCAUCUGAAGAACUGUGGAGUUUUGCACUGUGACAUCAAACCUGAUAAUAUGCUGGUAAAUGAAGCAAAGAAUGUUUUGAAGCUUUGUGAUUUUGGGAAUGCAAUGUUUGCUGGUAAAAAUGAGAUUACACCUUACCUUGUGAGUCGCUUCUAUCGUGCCCCUGAAAUAAUUCUAGGUUUACCUUAUGACCAUGCCAUGGACAUGUGGUCAGUUGGUUGCUGCUUGUUUGAGCUUUAUCUUGGAAAGGUUCUCUUCCCAGGCCCAACAAACAAUGAUAUGCUUAGGCUUCACAUGGAGCUGAAGGGUCCCUUCCCAAAGAAGAUGCUGAGGAAGGGGAGUUUUACAGAUCAACAUUUUGAUCAGGACUUGAACUUUCAUGCCACAGAAGAGGAUCCUGUUUCAAAGAAGACAGUGAAAAGAUUGCUGGUGAAUAUCAAACCGAAAGAUAUUGGCAGUCUUGUCCAAAGCUCUCCAGGGGAGGAUCCCAAAAUGUUGUCUAACUUCAAAGAUCUCCUGGAAAGGAUUUUUAUUUUGGAUCCUGAUAAGCGUCUAACUGUAUCGCAAGCCUUGAGUCACCCAUUUAUCACUGGCAAGUGAAACGGAUUGCCAAUAUAUGCACCAAAUUCGCUGUUAAGUCAAUUGGCUUCAAUUGAGGUUUAGAUUUUAAUACAAUGAUAUAGACAUGGUCAAUUGUUGUAAAAUUUUCUGUUAAUUGUUAGAUGACAAUGUGGCACAUGAUUUAGUGCUUUGCUUAUUCUAUUCACCUGAUGAUGGGAUAUUUAUCCUGUGGUCUAUCAUCUUUUGCUGUACCCUGCCAAGCGCAAGCGGUAUAGACUUGGCGUGGAUGAACGGUGAAACAGAUGGUGUUGGUGUGGAGCUCCUUUUCUACUGGGUGAUUCUUUCAGUGGAAUAUUUCUGUUUCUAUUGGUUGCUUUCAGGUUUCAUGAGAUAAUGAUAAUCCAUUCGGUGCUUUAAGUGCCAGGUAGCUGCUGCAAGAAGAGUACAGUUUCAUGAUGGAGUCUUGUGGGUUUGAGAGUUUGCAACAAUGCAACACAAAAUACAGUAUCACAUGAGGAGGUCGAAAUGGGUACAUUCCAACUUCGUUUGGACAAAUCUCCUGGUCUGUAUGGGUUCCCAACUUCAUUCGAUCACAAAUGUUGGCACUUCACUAGUAAAGACAUGUGAAAUAUAGUGAAAGAUUUUUCGGUGAAGCACAUGUUUGUGAAAAAUAUAAACACCAUUGCGAUCACACUCAUUCCAAAGAAAGAGGAUAUCCUGACUAAUACAAACUAAUCUUGUUAUGUAACACGAUAUACAAGAUUGUCUUGAAAGUGCUUGCCAACCGAUUAUAUAAGAUAUCAAUUAAGGUAAUAUCAAAGGAGUAGAAUGGAUUUAUUCUUGGUAGGGAAAUCAUUGGUAGUAUUAUUGUUUCUAUUGAAGUGGUGCACUCAAUGGUAACUGGAAAAUAAGGGGAUGUUAAUCAAAUUAAACGUAAGGUGUAUGACAAAGUGAACUAGAAUUUUUUAUGAUGUGGUUUGGUUAAAAGAAUAAUUGGUUAGAAAUGGGGCUCUAUUUCAUGUCUACCAUUAAGUACUCUAGAAUAGUGAAUGGUUCCUUUUGUGGAUUCUUUGAUGCAACAAAUGGUUUGAGACAAGGGGAUCCAUUGUCUCCUUUCUUAUUCGUCAUUAUGGCCGAAUCAUUAGGGUAUCAAAGUUGCAGAGGAGCUAGAUCCUAUGGCACACAAUUUGUGGAUGAUAUUGUGUUAUUUGGAGAGGCAAAUUUGAAGGAAGUUGCUGUGAUAAAGAGCAUGCUAGAGGAAUAUACUAGCGUGUCCGAACAGUUGAUGAACAAAGAGAAAUUCACUAUAAUAUUCUUCAACACAAAAACACCAUUGCAGAGAAAAUUUGUCUCUCUCCUGGGUUUUCAGAUCACAAGCCUUCCUACCAAACACCUUGGAGCACCUUUAAUUUCUGAUAUAUUUAAGUCCAUUCACUGGGAAUAAACUGUAAAUAAUUGCAGAAAUAAAGUUUAAUCGUUGAUUGGCAGAAUCACAAUGAUCAAAUUGGUUCUUGUCGCUGUCCCCAUCUAUGUAAUGUCGUGCUUUUCAAUAACUUAAAAGUGAAGCUAAUCUGGAGAGUUGCCUGAAGAAGAAUUGGGAUGGUGCCAAAGAAGAUAAAUGUACCCCAUUCAUUCCUUGGGAAAAGACAUGCUUAAGGAAGCAAUCAGGUGGAGCUGGACUACAAAGAAUGAAGGAUCAAAACUUGGCACUAAGUGUCAAGUUGACAUGGAAAAUUUAUUACGAGCCAGACAAGUUAUGGUGCAAGAUAUUGCAAGCAAAAUACUUAGAUUGCUAGGACUUCAAAAGAAUAUUAAUGAUUGGGAACUCAUUGGGGGGCUUGGUUAUCUGGCGGUUCUUAUGGGAGAGUAUAAGAUUAAUAACAAACCACUUAACAUGGAAGAUAAAUAAUGGAAGAAAUGUUGCAUUUUGGGAGGACUCGUGGAGCGGAAUGCCUCCAUUAGCAAAAUUAGAUGAAGCAGGGAAUUAUAUUGGGAAUAUCAAGGAGAUACAAGACUCGAAGGUUAAAGACUAUCUAGUAAAAAGCUCAGUGUGUUUGGGGGAACAUCAUUCCUAGAUUGACUUUGUGUAAUUUUCGAUAUCGGAGAAGCUCAAAGGUGAAUUAAAUUCUACACUUGGACAAAGAAAGGUAACAAUCAAUGAUAGGGAGGAUGAGAUUGUUUGGUGUGGGUCCAAGACUGGUGAGUAUUCUGUCAAAUUAGGAUAUGAGAUAAAAAAUGUCAUGAAUGCAGAUUCAUCUUGGUCAGCUUGAUUCUAUUUGCAUUAUGUGGUUCUCCCUAAAGUUGGCAUAUUCCUAUGGGUUGCAUUAUGUAAAAGGAUAUUAACUGUGUAAAGAUUAAAAACAAUCGGGAUUUAGGACCAAGCAUAUGCUCCCUUUGUCGACAGGAUUGUGAGAUGCUGGACCAUGUGUUACUGAACUGCCCCUUUUCUACUCAAUGUUGGGAAUGGAUUUUGUUUGAGCUAUGAUGGUGUGGCCUGAGGCAAGAAGACUUUUUAGACUUUAUCAAGAGUUGGGCCUUCAAGGAAAGGAAAUGCAUUUUGGUUGUGUGUUUGGAUUGAUGCCCCUUCUAUGGUUGCUUGGCACAUAUGGAAGGAGAGGAACAAGUGUGUCUUAAACGACUCUUUUGUGGAGGUGGAGGAAAUCACAAGAAGAAUGAAGAUUGCAAAUGCCAAAUAAUUUUUUGAGGUCAGACACAGUUUUCACAACUGGUGAUGAGGAACUGCAAAAGAAGUGGCCAGAUUUCAAAACGCCAAUAGGCACUAUAGAAGACAAGAAGCAGAGCAAAAGGGAAGUUAGAUAUAACCAUCUUGAACAUGGAAAAUAUAAGUUGAAUUUUGAUGGGGCUGCCAAAGGCAACCCUGGUCAAGCUGGGACGGGGUGUAUAAUAAGAGACCAUAAUGGAGACUGUGUAUGGGCAAUAUCAAGGAAGAUUGGUUCUGAUACUAACAACGAAGUGGAGAUGGAGGCAAUCACGAUGGGUCUACAACUAUGCAGAGCAAAAGGUAUUGGCAACAUUGACAUUGAGGGUGAUUCACAGUUAUGUAUACAAGCAGCAAUAAAAAAGGAAAUUCAUAAUUGGAAUCUCAAAGGCUGGUUACAGAAGAUUGGAGAGCUUUUGAAUGAAUUGAAGGAAUACUCUCUAUCACAUGUAUAUAGGGAAGCAAAUAUAUUUGCUGACCGGCUAGCAAAUCAUGUAGUUUAUCAAGAAUAGAUUGAUUUUCGGAGUAAUAACUAAAAACUUAACGGAUUGGGAGGGGCUUUUGGAAAUAAUUGAAGAUGAAAAAUAGUCAAAGAAUGUGAGGCGGGGUUAAUGACACCAACCUCGUGUAUCAAAAAGACUAAAUGAUUGAAUAGGAUGCACUCUAAUGUCAAAAUGACUGACUGAUUGAAUGGGAUGGGCUCUAAUGUCAAAAUGAUUCUUACACUCGAUAAUGUGAAUUGAUCUCAGUUGGAGUAAUAUGGCCCCAUAUCCCUUAAAUUGAUCUGCGGGACAUUGAAAAGAACAAAGGCGAUCAUAAUUGUCGUAUGGACAUAAGAUAUUGUCAAGUUGGAUUCUGUGUACAUAAGAUCUUACUCCCGGAUCACAUUAGGAGCUGACCCUUUGGAAAGUAUGGGGGAGACUGGGUUACUCUUCUCCUCUCUAUAGUGCCAGGCAUACUAUAUGGAAGAUUUAUGGGAUUGAGAAACCAAACAAUAUAUAAAAUGAAUGAUACAUGGAGAUUCAAAUCAAUAAAAAUCAAUGAAAGUCUGAAAGGAGAAGUCUAUUGACAGGAUAAGAGGGAUGGCAGAGAUAUGGAAGAUCAGAAUGAUGAUUCAUAUAUGGAAUAUUAUCUCGGGGUUCACAGAAAAGUUAAUAAAUAACAGGCUGAGAAUGGGAAUUGUGGGUGAGUGUAGCAGAAUAAGUGGACUGAGAAGGAUGGUGCUGGUUUUUGGAGUUGAAUGUUCUUGUGUGGAGGUGACCAAAGAUGAGCAAUGUAGACAUCUCUUCCUAUGUGGCAAUGACCAAAUCAUGCAGGGUAUAUUCCACAUGAUUGGAGGUGGUUUCGGUGGACAGAGGCAUGUCCACGAUCUACUGAUAUACAUGCACUUUUUCUCCACGAUUAUUCAAGCAUUGGUUUCUAAAGAUUGGGGCAGAUGUUUCAAUAGUCUUAAAUCUGUGAUUUAUUUAAUGUUAUAUAUAAAAAAUAUUAUAUAUAUUAAUUAUAUAUUAUGUUAUAUUUAUAUUUACUAUUUAUCUAUACUUAUUUAAUAUUUAUCUAUAAUUAUUUAAAUAUAUGUUUACCAUUUUAUUUUAUUUUAUCUAUCUAUUGUUAAGCACUGCCUAAUGGGGCAGCUCCCAUAUAAUAAAUUAAAAAAAAAAAACAGACUCUGCAUCAACCCCAAAAUGGGUGUGCCAUAUUAAAAUAAAUUGAAUCUAUUAAAUAUAUAUAUAUAUAUAUAUAUAUUCUCGUACCAUACCCAAGUUUUUCUUUUACUGUACUGCUCACCACACCAAGUUCCAGUACCUGUACCCACACCUGUACCAAAAUUGACAACUUAUAUAUAUCGUCAUCUUAGUUGCUUUGAGAGAGAUAAAUUAUUAAUGCAGGAUAAAAUAUCAAAUUGGAGCAUCUUGUCAUUUCUGGAUCUGAACAGCAAUUGAAGAAAUUUGUUGAAACAUUUAAUUCUCUGAAUUCAUGGCAAAAGAGAGUUGUUGGGGAAGGAAAAAGGCUUAUUUUGAGCGGUGUGGGAAAGUUUACUAGUGAGAGAGACAUAGUUUGGCGGAUAUGCAAGAAAUAUUUGGAGGUUUUUGUCUUUUGAUGCAUACUGUGACAUCAAAAUAUGCUUAUCUUUGGAGGAUGCACAGGUUUCUGACAGCAAAGUGACAUCUCUUUCUGUGAAUGAAUUCUUCUGUCUGGAUUGUUUUAAAGCGUAAAUAUGUCUCCAUAUUGAUAUCUCUCAAUGUCCUUUACAUAGAUUUUUCGAAAUAUAGGUAUGCUAGUAAAUACAGCAAUGGAAAAUUGACUUUUGGUUCAAGUACUGUUGACGAUUUACAGAAAGAUGACACAGGUCAAAGGUUCAACUAGUUUUUAAUACAGAUGUUUAUAUACUCACAUGUUGCUUUAUGCAAUAUACAGUACAGGUAAUGGCUGUUAUUGUGUUAGUGGCAUUGUGUUUCUAUUAACAUUUUACCUCCUGGUUUACUUAGACUUUAUAUUUUCUCAUUUUUGGGGGUUCUGUUCUUUGAGAUUUCUGUUCCAAGCUCUCUAUGAUUUUUCCUGUUGUCAUAGUAACAAAAUUCUGAAGUCAGCUAUAAACCUAGUACAUUUUUCUGAUCAAGGAUUUAGGGGUUUUGGUUUUCCAGGGAUGAUUAGACCUAGAAGGAAACCGUACUCAUAGAGGAUGGAUGAAAGAUCAUGGUAUAAAUCAAGGAUGAAUCUGUCUGUCACCACACACUAAAUAUUUGAGAAUAAUUAAAUGGGUCAUGACGUCUGUGGUGCAAAUGUUUAAACUAGUAACUUAAAAUUUUAAAGAGGAUUUGAAGAUUACUUUGUUAAACGAAAUGCAUUUACCUAUUUGUCAAUGCUUAAAUUGUUCUGCUAUACAUCAAUUGUGAUUGCUAUUGAGCAUUAAUGUUAUAUGGAUCUGAAACAUAAUUCUUGAGGAAACUGUUUACUUCUUCUUGUGGACCAUACUAGAACACAUUGCAGGAAUGACUCGGUACAGAUUGGGGAUGCUUUCUUCUAAAGGGUGAAUGCAAUUAUUGGAUCUGGACCAAUCAUAAAUCUUAGUUAGUGCACAUCUAAUAUAUAGUUUGUAAAAUGUGGUGAGGUAAUUUGUUCGUUUCAACAAGGGAUUGAAGUUGAAAGCUGAAAAUUCAAACUUGAAAUUUUUAGGAGCAUUGACAGAUCAAUUUUAAACGUUUAUGCAAAUCUUAUCUAUGUUUGUAGAGUUGAAAUGUUUUCGUCUUCACAUGGACUAUUGCUUGCAAAUAUUUGCAAGAUUGAAUACGUUGAGAUGGUAAUCCCUUACUUUUAGAGGACAAUAACAUCCAAGGAGAAUGCCUUUGGUGAGCAGCAGAAGGUUUGCAAAUAAGCAAGAAGCACAAAACUUUCCUGAUGACAAAGUUUGGAUUAUGUCUGAUUUAUGAGGCAUUUGUUGAACUACACACAUUCCUUCUGCAGAUGGAGUCAUUUUCCAUUUGGUCACCAAUGGGUACGUUUAAUGUAGCUGUUUAUUUUUCUCAAAGUCAGCAUGCAUUUUGUUGCUAGUAAAAGGGUUUUAGUUAAAUUAUACACUUGAGGUUACUUCACUAGAAUGCUGAAUUCUUGGCAUAUCAAGAACAUAACUUUACAUGUACAGGGCACAGGAAUGCUCUGUGAUUAAUGAUAUAAACUGAAUGAUCACAGUUAAAUAUAAUUCAAGUUCAUAUUAUCUUCUGCA